GUCUCUGUAGCAUACUGGAUAGUGCGUUGCACUGCUAAUCCAAAGGUCGUAGAUUCGAAUCCUACCUAGGAUG